UGGCAGCCGCCGCGGAAAUACGAAGGGACCUAGCGUAGUUCGGAAUUACUGGGCUUAAAGAGCUCGUAGGUGGUUAAAAAAGUUGAUGGUGAAAUCCCAAGGCUCAACCUUGAAACUGCCAUCAAAACUUUUUAGCUAGAGUGUGAUAGAGGUAAGUGGAAUUUCUAGUGUAGAGGUGAAAUUCGUAGAUAUUAGAAAGAACACCAAAUGCGAAGGCAACUUACUGGGUCACUACUGACACUGAGGAGCGCAAGCAUGGGUAGCGAAGAGGAUUAGCUU
rnacentral:rRNA from 1 species